CAAUUAAGAAGUACCUGUUUAUUUAUAACAAGUGAAUUAUCUGCUGUAUGUCUGAGCAUAUAUGGAUCUUAAUGAGGUGAUAUUAUAAAAUACUGAAUUUGAUAGAUCAGGCUCAACAUGGGCAGACAGCCUUCAAUUCCAAGGGUUCCUGCUUGCCUCCACAUCUUGAAACAAAGAGGCUGGAUCCCAUAAGUGUGUUAUUACUUUCUGGGUGCUCUUCUAUUCCACCAAGUGUAUUUUGAUGUUUAAGGGUGAUUCGUCCAGCUUUAUUCACUGAUUUCAUGGUAUUACCUGAGAUUGGUAAAGGAGACUUCAUGCUGGUCUAAUUCCAGGAAUAAUUCCAAACAGACAUCUCAGCCAUUCUCCUUGGGAAGAGAGGUCACUAGCCAUAUGUGCUGCUCUGAAACACAGAAUUAUUAAGUCUUUUAGAAAAAGACAUUUCCUGUAAAGCAUGUUCAUUUUUCUACUUUAAGUACAACUUGAAAUGACAAAACCUUCUCUCUUCAAUUCCAUGUGCCAUACACUCAUGCAGAUGGGAACUCAUCAAUCAAGAGAAGAUGGAUAAUAUAUUUACAGGUAGAAUGACACAGAAAUAGUAAUGCAAAAAUGUUUUGGAUAUUUUGCUGAUUAACAUUCUUGUCUUAAUGAAUUCAUAUAUAUUGAACUAAAAAGACAAGUGAAGUAGCAAUAUGAAGCACCGUAAACAAGAUCAACACUGGAAAAACCUCUUAUUUUUAGCCCCAGUAGAAGAUAAUAUCUUGCACUUGAACUGAAGUAAACUCUUUUCUUCUGUGUAUUCCUUUAUGCCUCUGAAAAGGGAAUAAAAGACAAUUUACUCUUUGCCAUAGUGACUGAUUGUGAGGCUUAUUACCUCCAAGUAGGUAUACCGUUUUAAGGCAUUAUGUAAUAGGUAUUGCUGUUAGUGGAGGUUCAUGCAGGAAAUCUCGUUUAGAAAUGUAUUUGCUAUGCAUAAAAUCAGCUUAGAGCACAAGCCAUUUGUAAGAUAAUUUUGCAGGACUAAGCACCAUCUGUUUAGCUCAGAUAUUUUCUGUACAGGGCUUGGUACAGUUUUACCAUCUGAAAAACAGGUAGUUUUACUAAAACUACCUGUAUCUAUCCAAAGAGACCAGAAUAAACUCUUUUUUGAGUGCAUGGAUAGUGCACUGUCGAUAUUCUGUGCCACACUGAAACUGUCCCAUUUUGUCUUGAGUUCAUACUUAAGUUUGGACUUCCUUGAUCAUUUCCAUGGCCCAGGUGAUAGUUUGCAGCCUUAUUUUUGUCUGAAAUUGUCUUAUUGCUCUAUCACUAGAGAGCAUCACACAUAGGAUGGUGGCUGACUCACAACUUUGGGCAGCCAGGACAGGGCAGAUCAAGCCACUGGUACAAUAUUUAGUUCCCCUCUCACUAGGAUAAGUAUCCAGAGACCCACACAAGUCUUAUCUGACCGUUGCACUAGACCUAAAGAUGCUGUUGUCUUGCAGGCAGCCCAUGCAGAACUGGGAAAAACGGAUGGAGACUGGUUCAGACGUGCGGGCACCCAGCUUCCAGUAGCACAUCCAUGUGAUGGCACCAAAAUUUCUUUCCAAAUCUGACUGCGUCCAUCCCAUACACAUAAAGCAGAAUUGCAUCAAGACAUAAAAAUAACAUACAAGUAAAUAAAAGAAGGAAGCAGGCUGCUGAAAUGCACCUGCAAACAAGCUUUGGUGUUUCAAUGCAAAAUACUCAGGUAUAGAAUCAUAGAAUCCCAGACAGGUUGGGCUGGAAGGGACCUUAAAACUCACCCAGUUCCAAACCCCUGCCAUGGGCAGGAACACCUUCCACUAGACCAGGUUGCUCCAGGCCCUGUCCAACCUGGCCUUGAACACUGCCAGGGAUGAGGCAGCCACAGCUUCUCUGGGCAACCUGUGCCAGGGCCUCACCACCCUCACAGGGAAGAACUUCUGCCUGAGAGCUCAUCUCAAUCUCCCCUGUUUAAGUUUGAACCCAUUCCCCUUUGUCCUACCACUGUAUGAUGCAAGUCUUUAUACAGGGAGCCAUGAGGUCUGGUACAGAAAGUUUUGGGUUUUCUGUGAUUUGGAAAAAUCACGUUUUGAUUUCCUCAUCUGCUAGAAAGCAAGAAUAAUAUCUUUCUCUGGAAAAAAGUUUUUAGAAGUAAACUGAAAAACUGACACAGGAGAGCUAAGAAUGAUUAAUAUCUAUACUUCUGGUGUACUGGAUACAAUUUGUACAUGAGUAGCAAUUUCAUAUAGGAAAGCACUUGUUGCUUUCGGUCCAUUGCAGCAUUUUUAACACAGGAAAGCAUGGAAUUGCAUAUUUAAGUAGUAUAGAUUGUUCUUCCCUACUUUGUAGAUGGAACAGCAUCCUUUUUCCUCAUGUAUUUUUAAUUUUCCCCUUUCUGAGGUCAUUUCCUUAAAACUGCUCCAGUUAGUUAGAAUAGCUCCAAUGACAUAUACUGAAUCUGCAUAUGCAGAAUCAAAAAUACUGCUCUUAAUGGUGGCUCAUUGAACAUUAGAAAGACAUAUUACAGAGAUGUAAAUACACAGGAAAAUUUAGGCUUGAUAAAUAUUCUGGUUAGGGUUUGGAUUAGUCUAAGUGAUGUGAGUACAACUUUUCCAGUCUUCAUUACAUAAAAUUACUAAGGCAUGUAGCAUUACACAUGAAUAUUGUCUUAAAAUAAUAAUUGUAUUGUUUGCAUGACUGGGUAAAAAAUACACUUCUGAUACAAGCAGUGUUGAACUGUUUUAUGACUACUUAUGAACUAUUUAUGAACUAUUUACAUUUACGAACUAUUUUAUGGCAGGGGGGUUGGAACUAGAUGAUCUUAAGGUCCUUUCCAACCCUAACUGUUCUAUGAUUCUAUGAUUCUAUGACUGUGGUUAGCAAAAAUUGCUAUUCUGAACUUGUAACAAAGUUGAGACUGUCUAAAGAAAAGAGAGACGGAAAGACAGUUAUCAUUUAUGACUUCAAGAUGGUACCAUUCAUAACCUCCAGACAUUCAAUGAAGCUAGGUAAAACAUUUUUCAAAUUUCAAAGAUAUGUAAGUGUAGUGUAGGAAAAGACAUCCACUAUCUAUAUCCUCCAGGUAUUGUCAUUCUCUGAAGUUAAGUAAAUUUGUUUUGCAUUUUAGAAUUAUGUAGGUAUAUAAACUACAACAGCACGUUUGUGUAAAAAACAUUUCUCAGAAGAGUUUUGCUAAUCGUUUUGAAAACAUACUGCUUGCUGGCUUUUCUUUUUUACCUUACAAAAUGAAUCACAUCCAAGAACUGCGUUGCGCUUGUAGGAGCUGCUAAUCCUUCACCAUACUAAUUUGCCUUUAUCUUAGAUUAAAGUUUCUUACCCCUUGGCUGUGUCUUUCAGGUUGUGUCAGGCUGCAGUGCAAGAUAUGUUUGUUGCCUGUGUUUUCUGAACUGCCGUAAGAAUAAUGCAUUGUACAUUCCCGAUGUAGCUAUUUCAUAAGGUCACCUCCCCCAUUUGAGUUCAAUGGCAUGACUAAUGCACGUAAAGUUAAGCAUGUGCAUUCGGCCCUGAGCCAGCAAACAUUAGCACAAGGGCAGGGAAGUGAAUCCGUGCAGAACCCCCC
ensembl:lncRNA